rnacentral:rRNA from 1 species
GACGAACGCUGGCGGCGUGCCUAAUACAUGCAAGUAGGACGCAGUUGCGAACGGGUGAGUAACGCGUAGGUAACUGCCUAUUAGAGGGGGAUAACUAUUGGAAACGAUAGCUAAUACCGCAUACUAGUAGAUGGACCUGCGUUGUAUUAGCUAGUAGGUGGGGUAAUGGCCUACCUAGGCGACGAUACAUAGCCGACCCUAGAGGGUGAACGGCCACACUGGGACUGAGACACGGCCCAGACUCCUACGGGAGGAAGCAGUAGGGAAUAUUCCGCGAUGGAGGGAACCCUGACCGAGCAACGCCGCGGGAGUGAAGACGGAUUUCGGAUCGUAAAGCUCUGUUGUUAAGGAAGCGGUACUUAACCAGAAAGGGACGGCUAACUACGUGCCAGCAGCCGCGGUAAUUC